AUUGAACGCUGGCGGCAGGCCUAACACAUGCAAGUCGAACGAGUGGCGGACGGGUGAGUAAUGUCUGGGAAACUGCCUGAUGGAGGGGGAUAACUACUGGAACCGGUAGCUAAUACCGCAUACCAUCGGAUGUGCCCAUAUGGGAUUAGCUAGUAGGUGGGGUAAAGGCUCACCUAGGCGACGAUCCCUAGCUGGUCUGAGAGGAUGACCAGCCACACGGGAACUGAGACACGGUGCAGACUCCUACGGGAUGCAGCAGUGGGGAAUAUUGCACUAUGGGCGAAAGCCUGAUGCAGCCAUGCCGCGUGUAUGAAGAAGGCCUGCGGGUUUUAAAGUACUUUCAGCGGGGAGGCGUUACCCGGAGAAGAAGCACCGGCUAACUCCGUGCCAGCAGCCGCGGUAAUAC
rnacentral:rRNA from 1 species